rnacentral:rRNA from 1 species
ACGAACGCUGGCGGCACGCUUAACACAUGCAAGUCGAACGAGAGAAGAGAAGCUUGCUUUUCUGAUCUAGUGGCGGACGGGUGAGUAACACGUGAGCAAUCUGCCUUUCAGAGGGGGAUACCGAUUGGAAACGAUCGUUAAUACCGCAUAACAUAAUUGAACCGCAUGAUUUGAUUAUCAAAGAUUUAUCGCUGAAAGAUGAGCUCGCGUCUGAUUAGCUAGUUGGUAAGGUAACGGCUUACCAAGGCGACGAUCAGUAGCCGGACUGAGAGGUUGAUCGGCCACAUUGGGACUGAGACACGGCCCAGACUCCUACGGGAGGCAGCAGUGGGGAAUAUUGCACAAUGGAGGAAACUCUGAUGCAGCGAUGCCGCGUGAGGGAAGAAGGUUUUAGGAUUGUAAACCUCUGUCUUCAGGGACGAAAAAAGACGGUACCUGAGGAGGAAGCUCCGGCUAACUACGUGCCAGCAGCCGCGGUAAUACGUAGGGAGCGAGCGUUGUCCGGAAUUACUGGGUGUAAAGGGAGCGUAGGCGGGAUCGCAAGUCAGAUGUGAAAACUAUGGGCUUAACCCAUAAACUGCAUUUGAAACUGUGGUUCUUGAGUGAAGUAGAGGUAAGCGGAAUUCCUAGUGUAGCGGUGAAAUGCGUAGAUAUUAGGAGGAACAUCAGUGGCGAAGGCGGCUUACUGGGCUUUAACUGACGCUGAGGCUCGAAAGCGUGGGGAGCAAACAGGAUUAGAUACCCUGGUAGUCCACGCCGUAAACGAUGAUUACUAGGUGUGGGGGGACUGACCCCUUCCGUGCCGCAGCAAACGCAAUAAGUAAUCCACCUGGGGAGUACGACCGCAAGGUUGAAACUCAAAGGAAUUGACGGGGGCCCGCACAAGCAGUGGAGUAUGUGGAUUAAUUCGAAGCAACGCGAAGAACCUUACCAGGUCUUGACAUCCGACUAACGAGAUAGAGAUAUGUCAGGUGCCCUUCGGGGAAAGUCGAGACAGGUGGUGCAUGGUUGUCGUCAGCUCGUGUCGUGAGAUGUUGGGUUAAGUCCCGCAACGAGCGCAACCCUUACUGUUAGUUGCUACGCAAGAGCACUCUAGCAGGACUGCCGUUGACAAAACGGAGGAAGGUGGGGAUGACGUCAAAUCAUCAUGCCCCUUAUGACCUGGGCCUCACACGUACUACAAUGGCUGUCAACAGAGGGAAGCAAAGCCGCGAGGUGGAGCAAACCCCUAAAAGCAGUCUUAGUUCGGAUUGUAGGCUGCAACCCGCCUACAUGAAGUCGGAAUUGCUAGUAAUCGCAGAUCAGCAUGCUGCGGUGAAUACGUUCCCGGGCCUUGUACACACCGCCCGUCACGCCAUGGGAGUCGGUAACACCCGAAGCCUGUAGUCUAACCGCAAGGAGGACGCAGUCGAAGGUGGGAUUGAUGACUGGGGUG